UACGGAGGGUGCAAGCGUUUUCCGGAUUUAUUGGGUUUAAAGGGUGCGUAGGCGGGUAAUUAAGUCAGUGGUAAAAGCCGACAGCUCAACUGACGAACCGCCCUUGAUACUGGUUAUCUUGAGUAUAGUUGAGGCAGGCGGAAUUUACGAUGUAGCGGUGAAAUGCAUAGAUAUCGUAAAGAACACCUAUAGCGAAGGCAGCUUGCUAAACUAUAACUGACGCUGAGGCACGAAAGCAUGGGUAGCGAACAGG
rnacentral:misc_RNA from 1 species